rnacentral:lncRNA from 1 species
CCAGAAUUGAUGUCAUCUCGAUCGCUACAACUGGCAUGAUGGCUGCGGCAUCCUCAUCUCUCACCGUCUCUACUACUACCGAGGGCACUUCGGCAGAAGGGUGCGUUGUCAGAGCCAACAACGCUAUGACUGGCUCAGCUCUGGGAGCUAUCACCGAUGGAAUGUCGGGCUUCCUCACCAACAUCGACUCUGAAUCAACCCG